UGGGGAAUAUUGCACAAUGGGCGCAAGCCUGAUGCAGCCAUGCCGCGUGUAUGAAGAAGGCCUUCGGGUUGUAAAGUACUUUCAGCGGGGUGGAAGGGAGUAAAGUUAAUACCUUUGCUCAUUGACGUUACCCGCAGAAGAAGCACCGGCUAACUCCGUGCCAGCAGCCGCGGUAAUACGGAGGGUGCAAGCGUUAAUCGGAAUUACUGGGCGUAAAGCGCACGCAGGCGGUUUGUUAAGUCAGAUGUGAAAUCCUCGGGAUCAACCUGGGAACUGCAUCUGAUACUGGCAUGCUUGAGUCUCGUAGAGGGGGGUGGAAUUCCAGGUGUGGCGGUGGAAUGCGUAGAGAUCUGAAGGAAUACCGGUGGCGAAGGCGGCCCCCUGGACGAAGACUGACGCUCAAGUGCGAAAGCGUGGGGAGCAAACAGG
rnacentral:rRNA from 1 species